UACGUAGGGUGCGAGCGUUAAUCGGAAUUACUGGGCGUAAAGCGUGCGCAGGCGGCUUUUUAAGCCAGACGUGAAAUCCCCGGGCUUAACCUGGGAAUGGCGUUUGGAACUGGAAGGCUAGAGUGUGUCAGAGGGGGGUAGAAUUCCACGUGUAGCAGUGAAAUGCGUAGAUAUGUGGAGGAACACCGAUGGCGAAGGCAGCCCCCUGGGUCAACACUGACGCUCAUGCACGAAAGCGUGGGGAGCAAACAGG
rnacentral:rRNA from 1 species